AGAGGAAAAAUGUGUCUGUAACCUGCAAAGAUCAAUCACAUGAGCUGAACAGUAUACUAGACAUCUGUGAAAACUGCAAAACACAAUGUGAUCAUCUCUCAAAAGGCAAGAGUCAAAGAAAGUAUUCUGUGGAAAUUGAAAAAAUACGGGAAAACUAUG